CUAAGGCGAGGCUGAAAAGCGUAGUCGAUGGGAAGCAGGUAAAUAUUCCUGCACCAGCUGGAAGUGACGGAUGGCAUAACUUGUAAGGGCUUAUUGGAUUGUCCUUGCAGGGGCGUUGUCCCUGGAAAUAACUCCAUCAGAGACCGUACCCGAAACCGACACAGGUGGUCAGGUAGAGAAUACUCAGGCGCUUGAGAGAACUCGGGUGAAGGAACUAGGCAAAAUGGUGCCGUAACUUCGGGAGAAGGCACGCUGGCGUUAGGUGAAAGGACUAGCUCCUGGAGCCGAAGCCAGUCGCAGAUACCAGCUGGCUGCAACUGUUUAAUAAAAACACAGCACUGUGCAAA
rnacentral:rRNA from 1 species